rnacentral:rRNA from 1 species
CGCCGCGUGAGCGAUGAAGCCCUUCGGGGUGUAAAGCUCUUUUCGACGGGAACGGAUAAUGACGGUACCCGGAGAAGAAGCUGCCGGCUAACUACGUGC